rnacentral:misc_RNA from 1 species
AAGUCGUAACAAGGUUUCCGUAGGUGAACCUGCGGAAGGAUCAUUACAGUGAUAGUAUCGGCUCGGAAACUGCGCAAGCAGCCGGGCCGCACUACUAGCCAUCCUUGUGCUGUGUCAUGUUGUAUGGAUGUGCCGCCUUUAUUGGGGGUGCGUCCUGCUUUUUCACCACUCUUUUACCAUGUUUUUCUGAUACUCGCUCGCAUGAGCACAAACAACCGAAAACUGCCAGCAAUGGAUCACUCGGUUCUC